rnacentral:rRNA from 1 species
CACGUAGGGGGCGAGCGUUGUCCGGAUUUAUUGGGCGUAAAGGGCGCGUAGGCGGCAUGACAAGUCACUUGUGAAAUCUCCGGGCUUAACUCGGAACGGCCAAGUGAAACUGUCAAGCUAGAGUGCGGAAGGGGCAAUCGGAAUUCUUGGUGUAGCGGUGAAAUGACGUAGAUAUCAAGAGGAACAGCCUGCGGCGAAGGCGGGUUGCUGGGCCGAUACUGACGCUGAGGAGCGAAAGCGUGGGGAGCGAACGGG